UGCCAGCAGCCGCGGUAAUACGGAGGGUGCAAGCGUUGUCCGGAAUUAUUGGGUUUAAAGGGUGCGCAGGCGGCCUAUUAAGUCAGAGGUGAAAUCCCACAGCUUAACUGUGGAACUGCCUUUGAUACUGGUAGGCUUGAGUUCUGUAGAGGUAGGCGGAAUUUAUGAUGUAGCGGUGAAAUGCAUAGAUAUCAUAAAGAACACCAAUUGCGAAGGCAGCUUACUGGACAGAAACUGACGCUGAGGCACGAAAGCGUGGGGAGCGAACAGGAUUAGAUA
rnacentral:rRNA from 1 species